UACCGCAUAACGUACAGUUACCGCAUGGUAGCAGUACCAAAGGAGCAAUCCGCUGAAAGAUGGACUCGCGUCCGAUUAGCUAGUUGGUGGGGUAAAGGCCUACCAAGGCGACGAUCGGUAGCCGGACUGAGAGGUUGAACGGCCACAUUGGGACUGAGACACGGCCCAGACUCCUACGGGAGGCAGCAGUGGGGGAUAUUGCACAAUGGGGGAAACCCUGAUGCAGCAACGCCGCGUGUGGGAAGAAGGUUUUCGGAUUGUAAACCACUGUUCUUGGUGAAGAUAAUGACGGUAACCAAGGAGAAAGCUCCGGCUAACUACGUGCCAGCAGCCGCGGUAAUACGUAGGGAGCAAGCGUUGUCCGGAUUUACUGGGUGUAAAGGGUGCGUAGGCGGCUAGGCAAGUCAGACGUGAAAACCAUGGGCUCAACCUGUGGACUGCGUUUGAAACUGUUUAGCUUGAGUGAAGUAGAGGUAGGCGGAAUUCCCGGUGUAGCGGUGAAAUGCGUAGAGAUCGGGAGGAACACCAGUGGCGAAGGCGGCCUACUGGGCUUUAACUGACGCUGAGGCACGAAAGCAUGGGUAGCAAACAGGAUUAGAUACCCUGGUAGUCCAUGCCGUAAACGAUGAUUACUAGGUGUGGGGGGUCUGACCCCCUCCGUUCCGGAGCCAGCACAAUAAGUUAUCCACCCGGGGAUUUUCAGUCCAGGAACACGUAUU
rnacentral:rRNA from 1 species